GAUGAACGCUGGCGGCGUGCCUAAUACAUGCAAGUCGAGCGAACAGAUGAGGAGCUUGCUCCUCUGACGUUAGCGGCGGACGGGUGAGUAACACGUGGAUAACCUACCUAUAAGACUGGGAUAACUUCGGGAAACCGGAGCUAAUACCGGAUAAUAUAUUGAACCGCAUGGUUCAAUAGUGAAAGACGGUUUUGCUGUCACUUAUAGCUGGAUCCGCGCCGCAUUAGCUAGUUGGUAAGGUAACGGCUUACCAAGGCAACGAGGCGUAGCCGACCUGCGAGGGGGAUCGGCCACACGGGAGCUGAGACACGGUCCAGACUCCUACGGGAGGCAGGAGUAGGGAAUCUGCCGCAAGGGGCGAAAGCCGGACGGAGCGACGCCGCGUGAGUGAUGAAGGUCUUCGGAUCGUAAAACUCUGUUAUGAGGGAAGAACAAAUGUGUAAGUAACUAUGCACGUCUGGACGGUACCUAAUCAGAAAACCACGGCUAACUACGU
rnacentral:rRNA from 1 species